GCCCGCGCCUCCGCACGAAGGGGCCGCCGUCGUCGUUGGAUGUUCGUUUCCCGCUGCCGCCGCCGCGAACUAAGUUAGACGUCCUCUCUCACUUCUACUCUUCCUCUUCUUCCUCUCCUCCCUCUUUCUCUCUCCUUUAUCCUCUCCCUCCGCCGCAGAUUACCCUCUCCCAGUCACGCCACCACGCCGCACGCCACCGGAGUCGCCCACCCACUGCGGUCUGUCGAGGACACGGAAUUAGGAGAGGAACGGCCGUGUUGUUCUCAUCCGCGUUCCUACGGCUCCAUCAAGUCAUACACCAGACUAUAAAGUUCUGACCUUCGGUUCUAGUUUUAUUACCUACAGGUUAUAAACGUCGUUUUCUAGUUCUCAACCGGUGAAACUGGGCUUGCCUCGGGUUUUUGUGACGGCCGAAGACUUUACAUAUGGUAGAAGCUCCCUCAUGCUUUCAAUCAGAGACAACGAAGACCAUAGUUAAAUGAUAUAAUGACGUUUCUUACUGCUACUCCAACUCAAGUAGGAGAAUCUCUUCUACAUACGAAAUCGUUGAGAAAAGGUCUAGCGUUAAGAUGUUUUUGUAUUUCAGAACACCUACACGUCCGGCUGGCGCCUGCGAAACACGAGAGGUGGCCGGUACCUACGUACGAGGUCAUGCGAGGUGAGGUUGAGCGGCCUAUGGUUCCGUAAUGCCCUACCCAAUCCCAAACGACGACCUAGGUCGCAAAAAGACAACUACCAACAGCAGACGAGCACGAGAGAUAACAGCCUGACGACCCUAGAGGGCAACAACACCAACCGAGCUGUCAAUACUAAAAACAGCUACCAGGGUAACGUCAAGUAAACUUCGUUUUCUUUCCGUACGUCUGAACCUAUAGGCUAAUUUUCCAUAUGUAAGUAACUCAAGUCCUCGCCUUACUACACGGUGGAUGUCCUUCUUUGACAUCAGUUCUUCUUGCACUAGUAAACUCUUCAUGCUAUUCCAUGUAUUGCAAGUCGGACUUUACCACAACCACGAAACACUUUUCAAACCGGUGGACUUGGACUGUAAAAGAUAACCUCUCGUAUAGUCAAGAUUACCGCAUUAAAACUAGCGUUACUGUAGCUACCGCGGCUCUCCUCCGUUUCGCCGUUCUGCACAAAACGGCACGACCCAGCUUGCGGCCGGUCUUGCACAGUGGCUGUACACGACCCAACGACCAGCUAAAGAACGAAACGCAUGUCAAGUGGUCGCCUAAUACCCAUUCUUACCUGAUUUCUUCCUACUACAACCUCUAGACUUUUAUUAAAAACCAACAACCUUUUAUUUUUUAGAUGUGCCCUUCUGGAGCCGUUUAUGAAAGUCGUUGUUUCUUUGUUUCAACUGGUGGGGCAGUAGUGCCACUCGUUCGACUGUAGGACGAGACGAAGAACUACGCCAAGCCGUACUACCGCCGCGUCUAUUUCCGGAAGAAGCUGAGGUUGCCACCGGAGACCGUCAUGGUCUCGUAGAGCCCGUUAGGGUGCCCGUAGAAGAAACGGUACCCGUGGGUCCCGUCCGUUCGCUUCUGAGUCUGGUAGCGGUGGACAGCAGAUGUAACUACGACCGCUCUCUUUUUUAUGUUCCUCGAUGUGUUGGUUUAACCUAGGGGUAGUUGUAGUCCUGUUUGUAACUUCUGUAGUUUCUUUCCUAUAGUUUCCUCUUCCUCCAUAAGGCUUUUUUCCUCUUCCUUCCGGACCAGACGAAAUACUUACCUGUGAGAAGGACGAUGUUUACACCGGUUGUACUAGUUAAGUCUAUAUCUUUAAUACGGUGGUUAACAAGUACCAACACGUGACUUAUCUACAAGGAGAUGAACAUUAUUUGUAUAAAAGGAAACAAAUACGUAAUUACCUAUACUAUAUUAAUCGCCAGGUUAACAGUAAAGUC
rnacentral:rRNA from 1 species